rnacentral:rRNA from 1 species
AUGGACAUGGUUACCGUCCCCCUCCUUCUGCUCCUGCUCCUCGCGCCUCUCGCCGCUGCGCAAUGGCAAAGCUGCGCCAACAACAACGGCAACUACACACCAAAUAGCACCUACCAAGCCAACCUCAGGCUCCUCUCUUCCACCCUCCCCAAGAAGGCCGCGUCCAACACCAACCUCUUCGCCACAGCCACCGUGGGCGAUGUUCCGGACAUGGUCCACGCCCUUACGCUCUGCCGCGGCGACUUCAACGCCUCCGCCUGCCAGAGCUGCGUGGCAACCGCCUUUGAGGACGCCCAGCAGCUCUGCGCGUACAAUAAGGAAGCCGCCGUGUACUAUGAUCCCUGUAUGCUCAAGUUCUCCAACAAGAAUUUUCUCGCCACCACCGACACCGACAAUCAAGGACUCCUCCUCUACAACACUCAGAACUUCACUACAAACGCCGACAUCACCCAGCGAUUAUUGUUCACGCUUAUCAACAGCACGGCUCAAUCGGCCGCGAAUAGCUCGAGGAGGUUCACUACCUCGCGCUUAGAUGUUGGUUCCUCCCCGACGCUGUACUGUCUUAUGCAGUGCACGCCCGAUCUGACCGCCGACGAUUGCAUGGCCUGUUUCCGGACUGUGUUGAGUGUUACGCUCCAGUACCUGGGCGGUAGGCAAGGUGGCCGAGUUCUGGGAGUACGGUGUAAUAUGAGGUACGAGAUGUACCCAUUCUUCCAAGGGGACCCUACCCUGCGAAUUAUCAACUUGGCCCCUGAAGUUCCGGCGAUCAACAACAAUACGACACCAGUUACCGUGCAACCACCAGCUGCGGCGCCACCCCCGGAUGGAAAAGCGACCGUCCAAGAACAGAAUGGACGCAGCUCACGCAAGAGGGCGCUGUUGAUUAUUGCUGUGGUGGCUCCAUUAUCGUCAAUACUUUUGUGCUUUAUCUGUUCCGUUGUAUGGAUGAGAAGACGAAGAAAAGGAAAGGCAAACUUAAACAAUCAGGCUGCCACGAAUAGGCCAGAAGAAGAUGCACUGGUUUGGAGAUUGGAGGAGAAGAGUUCAGAGUUCACUCUCUUUGACUUUUCUGAGAUACUGCAUGCUACACACAAUUUCUCCAAAGAGAAUCUACUUGGGCAAGGUGGUUUUGGCCCUGUCUACAAGGGCCAACUACCAGAUGAAAUGGAAAUUGCAGUUAAAAGGCUUGCUUCACAUUCAGGACAGGGUUUCAUAGAAUUCAAGAAUGAAGUUGAACUUAUUGCAAAACUACAACAUAACAAUCUGGUCAAACUCUUGGGAUGCUGCAUUCAGGGAGAGGAAAAAGUAUUGGUGUAUGAGUAUUUGCCAAAUAAGAGCUUGGACUUCUUUAUAUUUGAUGCAAACAGAACAACUUUGGUUGAUUGGAAAAAAAGGCGUGAGAUAAUCGAAGGGAUAGCCCAAGGUCUUUUGUAUCUCCACAAGCACUCUCGAUUGCGAAUCAUACACAGAGACCUUAAGGCCAGCAACAUUCUCUUGGAUCAGGACAUGAAUCCUAAAAUUUCUGAUUUUGGUCUAGCAAAAAUUUUCAGCUCCAAUGAUACUGCGGGAAGCACAAAGAGGGUAGUGGGAACAUAUGGUUAUAUGGCUCCGGAAUAUGCAUCUGAAGGCAUUUACUCGAUCAAAUCUGACGUCUUCAGCUUUGGUGUGUUACUUCUUGAGAUCCUUAGUGGGAAAAGGAAUUCUGGUUUCCAUCAGUAUGGAGACUUUCUUAACCUUCUUGGAUAUUCAUGGCAACUCUGGGAAGGAGGGGGGUGGCUUGAGCUUCUAGAAGUCUCAAUUGUCAAGGAGAUCCAUACAACAGAGGCUAGGAGGUACAUUAACAUUGCACUAAUGUGCGUACAAGAGAGUGCAGAUGAUCGACCCACCAUGUCACAAGUUGUUGCAAUGUUAACGAGUGAGAGUGUUAUUAUCCCAGAGCCUAAUCAUCCAGCAUACUUCAACUUAAGGGUAUCUAAGGUACAUGAAUCAGCUAGUGUUGUUGUCCCAUGUAGUAAUAAUGAUGUAACCAUCACUGAAGAGCCAGAUGGCAGAUAG